GGUCAUCUAAAAAGUAUCCGCGGUACUUUGUCACUAGAUAUAUCCACCAUCAACACACAUCUAGUGUUAUAAAACGCUAAUAUGGCUUUGUGAUUGUUUUAUCUUAAGACUGCAUUUAAGACAGUCUAAAUAUAAGAAUUAAUUGUGAAUACCGGCGGUGAAUACCAAGAAUCUGAUUAGAUUGGAUUACAUCUGUUUUAGUUUUAGAAUUCGAAUGUUCCGCUUUUGUCCUGAAGCAUCAUGAAGUUGACGUCGAUGCGCGACAUCGAUGCAAGACUUCGAGUCGAAUGGAUCUCACGCAAGUUCAGUCCGUUCGCGACGCAUCUUUGAAUUUAUUCUUCGUGUGCUUCAAUAAUGCGUGCGAAGAAGUACUUCCUCGAGCCACGAUGUCGUAGAUUUAGACUUUUACCCGCGCUCGAUCUGUUGGAUCCGGCUCGACAAAUCUCAACGCAGAGACGAAAGCCCGAGGAGAGGAAUAAAAUACUAGAGAAUAAAACGCGAAGAUAAGAAGCUCUGUCGAAAUUUUUUUCACGCCGAUAAAUUUGAACAAUAAGCUAUCAUCGCAACGACAUUACCACUGUAUUGAUAUUGUAAUUGCCAACUUGACAUAAGACAUUAAUACGAGACAUCGUUAUUGCUCUCUGCAUUUCCGUUUGCGAUCAAAUUGCCGUUUCUUCCUUUCUUUAAUACGAAUAAAGAUCGCAUUAAAUAUGUAUCGUAAUUUGGCAAUUGCAAUAACGAUUUCUGUCAUUGUUCGCUCGUCGAUUCAUUCGAGACCUAUCAGGAAUAUUGCGAAAGUUUCCUGAGGAAAUAAACAUUUGGUCCCAA